rnacentral:rRNA from 1 species
UACGGAGGGGGCUAGCGUUGUUCGGAAUUACUGGGCGUAAAGCGCACGUAGGCGGCUUUGCAAGUCAGAGGUGAAAGCCCGGGGCUCAACCCCGGAAUUGCCUUUGAGACUGCAUCGCUAGAAUUGUGGAGAGGCAAGUGGAAUUCCGAGUGUAGAGGUGAAAUUCGUAGAUAUUAGGAAGAACACCGGUGGCGAAGGCGGCCAUCUGGCUCGGUACUGACGCUCAGGCGCGAAAGCGUGGGGAGCAAACAGG